UACAGAGGGGGCAAGCGUUAUUCGGAAUUAUUGGGCGUAAAGGGCGCGUAGGCGGCUUUUCAAGUGACGGGUGAAAGCCCUCGGCUUAACCGAGGAACUGCCUGUCAGACUGGAAGGCUUGAGACCGGGAGAGGUGAGUGGAAUUCCCAGUGUAGAGGUGAAAUUCGUAGAUAUUGGGAAGAACACCGGUGGCGAAGGCGGCGCUCUGGACCGAGACUGACGCUGAGGCGCGAAGGCGUGGGGAGCAAACAGG
rnacentral:rRNA from 1 species